GACGAACGCUGGCGGCGUGCUUAACACAUGCAAGUCGAACGGUGAAGCGCCUUCCUUUUUGGUGGGUGUGGAUGAGUGGCGAACGGGGGAGUAACACGUGAGUAACCUGCCCCCUUCUUCUGGAUAACCGCAUGAAAGUGUGGCUAAUACGGGAUAUUCUGGGUCUGUCGCAUGAUGGGUCUGGGACAGAUUUUGUUUCGGUGGUGGAUGGGCUCGCGGCCUAUCAGCUUGUUGGUGUGGUGAUGGCUUACCAAGGCGGUGACGGGUAGCCGGCCUGAGAGGGUCGACGGUCACACUGGGGCGGCGACAUGGCCCAGACUCCGGCGGGAGGCAGUAGUGGGGAAUACUGCACAAGGGGAGGAAGCAUGAUGCAGCGACGCCGCGGGAGGGAUGGAGUCCGUCGCGUUGUGAACCUCUUUCGCGAGUGAAGCAGGCCUGCCUCGUUUGUGGGUGGGUUGACGGUAGCUGGAUAAGAAGCGCCGGCUAACUACGUG
rnacentral:rRNA from 1 species